rnacentral:rRNA from 1 species
CCCUUAGAUGUUCUGGGCCGCACGCGCGCUACACUGAUGCAUUCAACGAGCCUAUCCUUGACCGACAGGUCCGGGUAAUCUUUGAAUCUGCAUCGUGACGGGGAUAGAUUAUUGCAAUUAUUAAUCUUCAACGAGGAAUGCCUAGUAGGCGCAAGUCAUCAGCUUGCGUCGAUUACGUCCCUGCCCUUUGUACACACCGCCCGUCGCUCCUACCGAUUGGGUGUGCUGGUGAAAUGUUCGGAUCGGCCGUUUGUCGCGGUUUCCGCGGCUCGUGGCUGAGAAGUUCAUUAAACCCUCCCACCUAGAGGAAGGUGAAGUCGUAACA